CGAUUGCCAUCGCAACGGGCGCUCGACAUCACUGGGCAGAACAGGUAGCUCUUGCCAGCACAGGAAACUCUAGAACGUUUGGGAGGUGCGGCGAUUUCGGACCUAGGAAGGUUCUGUUCUUGCUUAAACGAAGGUAGAAAGAGNACCCAACUUCUCCUUCCGCGACUGUAUUUUGUCACGCAGACCCUUCGCCUUUGGCAAGUGGUAUGUACCGAUCGGCCAGCAGAGGGCGCCCAGAGUGAAAAGCCAUGGGCAGCUCAGUAGGGAAGGGCAGAGUAACCCUGCAGCCAACUCCGGCCAGCCAACUGCGACAGACGAGAGCUGAAACUGUGCCCUCUACAGGAAAAAAGAGAGAAGCUGCAGAUAAUAAAGGAGAUUGGCGAGUAAUCAUCCAAACUCUCAUAAAUGAAAAUAAUGUUAUGAUCUUCAGCAAUUCAACUUGCAACUUCAGUACUCAGGUCAAGGAUCUGUUCAAGUCCAUGGGUGUUCCAU
rnacentral:lncRNA from 1 species